AAUGAGUUAUAUAUGUUUUAUGUGAUUAUAAAUCAUUUUAUAAAAAUAAAGUGUUUUUAAAUAUAAAAAAAGAUAUUUUUUUAUAUGACAAGAGCACUCACUGAUCACUAGCUAGAGUUAGAAGAUAGAUAUACUUCUCAUUUAGAACUAGUGCUAAAGUCUUUCAUUACUACAAGAGCAAUACAGUUCUACAUCUCAUAUGGUGGAGACAGGAAUAAGCGCCUUUGAGGUUGUACUACUUUAGCAGUUUAGCUUGCCCACAAUUAUUGUUAUUUCUUUAGGACCGAUGCAUUCUCAGCGAGUUGCAGAAAUCAGAAGGUGCAAGGCGUGGUUGGUUUCUUCUUAAACUAUCUAUGAUCUAUCGACCACCAACUAAUGGCCAACUAAAAGUUUCUCUGGCUGCUCGGUUGCUGCAAAAUGGAUGGCUUUGUCUUGCCCCCUUUUGUAUCAACAUGUAUCUUGAAGAAUAAGUUUAUAGCCAGGUUUGCUUAAUAGCCACUUUGUCAUCUAUUUUUAUUUGUUAUAUUAUCAUAAAUAUAGUAAUAUUCUUGAAGCUGGCACACUAGUGUGAAGAAGAAAGGAGGUGUUUUAGCCAUUGAAGGAAAUGAUGCGCCUGUUAUAGCUGAUAAUAUCAGAAUUGUUGAGAAGCAACCUGUCAUGAUUUUAUAAGAUUACACAAACUAUAUUCUCAUGGUGAUUAAUGGGAGCCGAGGGAGUACUUUUAUGCUGACUUUUAGAUGUCUAAGAGUUAUACAAACUAUACUAUCAUGAGGAUUUGUCCAAUCUGGUAAUAGAGAAAGAAACCACGGAUGGACAGAUUGGAAGUGCUGCACAAGCUGGCAUCUCGGCCAGGUAUAAACAACUGGCGGGCUUCCAACUUCUAUUGAUGUGAAUAAUAGCUUUGGUGCACCAGCUACUAUUGAAGAUAGUUUGAUAUGGCAGAGGCUCUGGCAAUUAAAGGGAGGGAGGUGAAAUUUUAUGCUCAUUAUAUCAAGGAGAUAAAGAGUUUGUCAUGAUAAGGUUCAUCAUCUACAAAUACAUUUGUCCAUUUACAUUCCCUCUUCCACCAUUUUUUUCUUCCUUCAAAAUGCGCUAAUGAGGUGUUUUUUUUAAGUCAGCUGUGCAACUCGAGAUGCUAAGAGCUUACAUAGAGCAGUUGAGCACUUCUAUGUGAAGGAAUCCUGUGUCCAUUAAUGUAUUCUCUGUGGUUUUUACAGAUAAAAUAACUUCCCGAAAGUACUCUACUAAUUCGUAUAUUCACAGUUCAUACAUAGUAUAGCAUGUGUGAAAAAGAGUCCUAUAAAAUAUACUAAGGUUGCUUACAUCUCAUGAAACCUUUUAAAUUAACCCUGCUUCUCCUCUUUAAAGACAGAAUCCUCCCUUGCCACCUCUUCAUUGGUAUCAAUAUAGUGGUAACAUUGCUUAAAAUGAAAUUCCUCUUCCUUACCACAAAGUUGGCAUCCCUGAUAAUUUAGGGGACAAUUCUUGCAUUUGAUUGUUGUGAUAGGAAAACACUCUUCCCUUUAUUAACGCUUUGUCCUAGAAUCUUCUCAUACAUGUGAAAUAUCUUUUUAACUAACCAUGUAGUUCACUAGUGUUCGCUGUCAAUUUUAUGAUGGGUAGAAUAAUAUUGGUAAUAUGGAUUCUGAUUUACUAGAAAGAAGGAAAUAUUGAGAAUAUGAAUGUUUGCUAAAUGAAUUAAUGCCACUUUUCAAUACCAAGGUUUUGUUUGAUAUUGACAUCUAGAUGUAUGUAAAGGUCCGAAUUUAGUCUAGGAAUAACAUUGAUAGGCUUGUGCGCACGAGCCAAAAAUAUGAUAUGCUGUUACAAAACUUGUAAUAUCGAGUUAAACCUGCAACUUCCCCUUGCAAUGGUGGAGAUAGGCAGGACGGAUAGUGGACAAGGGGUGAUUGGUUGCUCAAUCCUUCGAAGUUGAACUCGCCGGAGUUCACAAUAACACUCUCACUAGAGUUCAGGUUUUGUCUUGCUCAGCUCUUCCCUGCUGGUUAAUAUUCAGGACUUUAUGAACUUAAGUAGAAUAUGGCCGUAGAGGGUUUAUGAGGAGUGUUACAGAAUGUAUAUGGAUAUUAUUCUUAGUAAUGUACAUAGGAUAAUUAGGCAGCAAAUUUGUAGGAAUCAGUCUUUAUUUUCUUUCCUAAGUUAGAACCUAAUGUAUUGUAUUUAUACCUCAUUUACUUGUUGGAAUACUUCAUCUUCUUCAAUUCAAUUACAUGGUAUCAAAGCCUAUAGGCUCCUCGAUCCUGUUUUGGCCUGGUUUCAAAAGGCAAGCUCGAUCUUGUUUUGUUGCCUUGCAGAAAGAGGUUCGAAUUUUGGAUCAAUCACUUUAAAGUGGCCAUUGUGUCACUGCCACCAUAGUAGGAGGCGUAUCAUCCUUUCCGGCCGGACCACCCUUCAACGGCAACUUGGUGUGAAGCGAGUGGCCUUCACGUGCCAUUUGAACCUCGCCUGUUUGUCACGUGCCGCCGUGCGUAGGCGCAUGCUCCGAUAGAAUCUUUUGGGAAUUGGAUUUCCGGUGUUGGAUCUUCGUUGCCGGCUUACCCCAAGUUUCAUCUGGUGUUGAAACACUAUUUGGAGGGUUUCUUCGUCACUUCCAGGUAACAGAGAAGAGCAGGUUCGUGAUACUCUCGACACUUAGGAGAACUUGCUGCUGCUGUUAAUUUGCUGGCCUCCAAGUAAGAAAGGGACAUCUGCAAAAUAUGGUAUAAGUAAGACGGGUGACGGCGCUUCUCAGUUUAAACAUCUGAGUCUUUUGAAGUUGAAGAUGUUGAGGUACCUGUAAAACAGAAACCAGUGUGAGUAGUAAAGUGCCAUCAUGUUCUCCUCCCACGGGACUUGAACAUGAUGGCAAUGAUCCCUUCUCUCCACCUCAACACUCCUGUGUCUCCAUAUUCUGCUGAUGUGGAAACCUCACAGCAUCAUUUCUGCUGAUGUGCAAAGUUCUACACCAGCAGCCUGAUUCAAAGGUACCUCCAGCCUUCUCUGCAUUUUUUUUUUUUAAAACAAAUUGCUGCAUCUAUUCCAAAGCAGUGUUGUACAUUGAAGCUGUUACUUCAGAUAGCCUUGCAGCCUUUAUUUGAAGCUACAAUAUAUAGAUUUCUUGAACCUUGCAGUUGCACCUAACAGCCAGCUAGGUGCUGCACAUAGCAAUGCUAUUUGCCUCUAUGCAGCUGCAGAUUUGUCUGCUGCAUCUUGUGACAGCUGAUGCAUCUCUUUAUUUUUACCCUGCCACCUGAAGUAGACAAGAUCACACCAGGACAAUCUUCUAUCAUCAGUUGUCAUCAACUAAGUAUCAGAAUCUAUGUUCAGUAAGUAGUUGUAGCCUGGCAGCAGUAAACCAGGCAGCUUCGUUGUUGUCCUCCAGGUGCUGCACAUAGCAGUGCUGAUUUCCACUCUGCAGCUUCAUAUCACCUGCUAAAACAUGUGGCCAUCUUCAUAGAAGCUGUUACUAGGAUAAGAAAUAGCCUAAGUGAAGAUGAACAAAUUAUGUGUGGGGUUUAGGGUU